rnacentral:lncRNA from 1 species
AAUAUACAAUAUAAGAAAUAUAAAUAUUACAUUAAAUAUCUAACAUAAAUUAUCAUUUGAUAUAAAAUAAAUAAAAAUUAGAAUAAGUAAAUAUAUAAUAUAAGAACAACUAAAAAAUAAAUAAAUAUACAACAUAAGAAAUAAAAGAACUAAAUUAACCAUCUAUUUGAAAAAAAUAUAGUAAAAUAAAUAAUAAGUAAAUAUACAAUAUGAAAAAUAAAAGUAUUACAUUAAACAUCUAUUAUAAUAUUAGAAUAAUUAAAUAUAAAAUAUAAGUAAAAUAAAUAAUAAGUAAGUAUACAAUAUAAGAAAUAGAAAACCCACAUUAAACAUCUAUCUAAAAUGCAUAAUAAGGAAAUAUACAAUAUAAGUGAUACCACUCAAAUUACCCUAAAGAGUGUUACUCUCAUCAAAAGAGGUUCGGAUGUAGUACUUAGGGAUAGUAUCCACAGAGACUCUAGG